rnacentral:RNase_P_RNA from 2 species
CCUGCGCACCGCUCCAUCGCUGCUCUUCGCAAGGAGGGGGGAGGAAAGUCCGGGCAGCACAGGGCACCGUGCUUCCUAACGGGAAGGGGCAAGGCUGGCGACGGCCGUGCCACGGAAAGUGCCACAGAAAGGGAAACUGCCCCGGCUUGCCGGGGUAACGGUGAAAACGCGGGGUAAGAGCCCGCGCUUGGCGUCAGUGAUGAGGCCAUUUCGGUAAACCCCACGGGCUGAAAGAUCAAAUAGGCCGGCAACAGGGCGGCCCGUCCUGCCGGCGGGUAGAUCGAUCGAGGUGUUCCGCGAGGGGCAUCCUGGAUAAAUGAUGGAGCCUUCAUCGCGAGGUGGAGGACAGAACCCGGCUUACAGGUGCGCAGGUACU